GACGAACGCUGGCGGCGUGCUUAACACAUGCAAGUCGAACGGACAGGCCCUGCUUUUGUGGGGUGCUCGAGUGGCGAACGGGUGAGUAACACGUGAGUAACCUGCCCUUGACUUUGGGAUAACUUCAGGAAACUGGGGCUAAUACCGGAUAGGAGCUCCUGCUGCAUGGUGGGGGUUGGAAAGUUUCGGCGGUUGGGGAUGGACUCGCGGCUUAUCAGCUUGUUGGUGGGGUAGUGGCUUACCAAGGCUUUGACGGGUAGCCGGCCUGAGAGGGUGACCGGCCACACUGGGACUGAGAGACGGCCGAGACUGCUACGGGAGGGAGCAGUGGGGAAGAUUGCACAAUGGGCGGGAGCCUGAUGCAGCAACGCCGCGUGCGGGAUAACGGCCUUCGGGUUGUAAACCGCUUUCGCCUGUGACGAAGCGUGAGUGACGGGAAUGGGUACAGAAGCACCGGCUAAAUACGUG
rnacentral:rRNA from 1 species